GGGGGGAGCAAGCGUUGUCCGGAUUUACUGGGCGUAAAGGGCUCGUAGGCGGGUUUGUAAGUCAAAAGUGAAAUCUGUCGGCUUAACCGGCAAACUGCUUCUGAUACUGCAAGCCUUGAGUAAGAUAGAGGAAAGCGGAAUUCCUGGUGUAGCGGUGAAAUGUGUAGAUAUCAGGAAGAACACCGGUGGCGAAGGCGGCUUUCUGGGUCUUUACUGACGCUGAAGAGCGAAAGCGUGGGUAGCGAACAGGAUUAGAUACCCUGGUAGUCCACGCCCUAAACGAUGAACACUAGGCGUUGGAGGGUCGGCCCCCCUUCAGUGCCGUAGCUAACCGCAUUAAGUGUUCCGCCUGGGGAGUACGAUGCAAGGUUG
rnacentral:rRNA from 1 species